rnacentral:rRNA from 1 species
UUUCCUACGGGAGGCAGCAGUGGGGAAUUUUCGUCAAUGGGCGCAAGCCUGAACGAGCAAUGCCGCGUGAACGAGGAAGGUCUUCGGAUCGUAAAGUUCUGUUGAAGGGGAAAAAGAGCGGAGAGAGGAAAUGGUCUCCGAUUGAUAUUACCCUUCGAGGAAGUCACGGCUAACUCCGUGCCAGCAGCCGCGGUAAUACGGAGGAUGCGAGCGUUAUCCGGAUUUAUUGGGUUUAAAGGGUGCGUAGGCGGACUGUU